GCGUAGCGUAUUAUUUUCAUUUACUCAUUCGCGGCUUAUUUCACGUAACCGCGGGCACCUCGACAAACGUCGCCUAAGAACCAACAGCGGCGAGGGAGAUAGACAGCGGCAAAAAAAGGAGAAGGCGAUCGUCCAGGGCCGGCGCACGGAAAGCCGCCGACGGAGAGGAGGACGAGACAAGACGUGGCGACAGAUAAGCGCCACGCAAAAGAGGCUCGCAAGUGGCACGGCUGAUGGACAGGCUGGGGUGGACGAACGGCCAGGACGAGGGCCAUCGAAUCCCAAUGAGAAAUGAUACAUCGAACCGAUGUCGAAUCGAUAUCGAUUUGAUCAAAUUUCAUCGAUGUGAUUUUUCCGGGUUAUUGAACAUCGAAAUCUCAAAUAUUUCGUAAUUAUUUCGAUGUCAUGAUAUUCGUAUUUGUUGGUAGCAGUAAUAAUACAAUAUAAUGUUUCUUUCAAAAUUUUCAUGUUUUUCCUUGUUUUUAUUGAAUAUCCAUUUGUUGUCGAUUCGAUAUCAAUUCGAUACUCGCAAGAGUUGCAGUGAAAAGCGACGCGGCGCGGUGCGUCAUCGCGCCGCGAUCUGCUCCUCUAACCUCUUUUCGUCUUUCGUCCCUGAGUCCGUUUGGGGCCGCAUACAUGUCGGACGUGUUCGCCCGUUACUCAUAUUUUUGUACCCGUCGAUUGCAUCACAAUCGGCAACGUGAUUGUUCUCGUGCACAGACUUUGUCUUCUUAACAUUUGCUUUCUUGCUACUUGAUAUUCGUCGAAUACAUCAUUGAUUUGCGAAGGAUAGCCGUAUCAUUCCCAGUUCUGUGGUGUGAUUGAUUUGUUAGUCAUAAACCAUUACAUUACUAGUUACUUAGUUUGUUUAAUAUAUUUAUUAUAGAUUCAUAUAACAAGGCUGCUGCUUAAAGCAAAGGAUAUGUGUAGAAUUCUAAUUAUGAAACAGACUGUCGUGAGUUAGGUAGAGGGCAUAGAAUAAAACGAAAGGCACAACGUUUAGACUUUGAGUCUGAAAAUGAAUCAGACUCUGGAUCGCAAAAUGUUAGAGUAAAAAAAACAAGGCGUUCAACCAACAAGAGUUUUUCAAAACUAAAGCAACUAGUACCAGUACCUCCUCCUGUUCCUUUGAUUGCAUCACGAAGAUUCAGCAUCUCUCCGCAUGAUUUAGUGCGCCAGCAUACUUCCCAGAAGAAACAAUCACCGAAGAAGAUAAAUAUUUGCAAAUUUCAAAAUGAUAAAGAAAAUCAAGUGACCAAACGUAUCAUGAACAUAGGGGAAAAAAUGCAGGAAGAAAAAAUGAAAAUACCGUGCUCUCUGAAAAACUUUGUCAGUUAUUAUCGAAUACAAAUAUUCAAAAACCUUGCAAAACAUCCCUGCAUCAAAAUAAAGAGACAUCUGACCAUAAAAAUGUAAACGAUUGUGAUUUAUUGGAAAAUCAAAAUUUUGGAGUCCAUCAAAAUUUUGAAAAGUUUAUUGAAAAUAGUCAAUUCACUUCAAAGAAGGAAAUUGUUUGAACAUUGCCUAUCUUCUAUAGAUAAACUUCUUUCGCCCAGCUCAUCCAAAAAGAGUAAUUUAUCAAGUGAGUUGAAACGAUCAACUAAUCCUUUGCGAAGUCUACCAUUUUCUGCUGCAGGCACAAGUUCAUCUUUCAAGAAUGAAAGCAGUUGUUCAUCUAAGAGUAAGAAAGCAGAUGUUUCUCUUAUACAUCUCAUCACAACAUUUCAUAAUGAGGUAAAGAGAGAAUUAAAAGAAUUGAAUAGCAAACUUGAUUUUGCUUUAACGAAUCAGGAGAAACUAUGCAGAUACAUACUUCCGAGUGACAAAGUCAUUAAAAGACAGGAUUCCCUUCGCUUCCAGUUCAAUCUGAAGAAGAAUUAAAUGCUUUGGAAACAUUUUUAUGUAAUGAUGGAAAUUUAUCAGCUGCAGUAAGUUUUUUAUUGUGUUGUUGCCAAAAGUAAUGACUAUGUUUUAAAGAAAUUACGUAAUUUUAUAUUUUCUUUUGCAGAGUAUAUAUCUUGGAAGAUUUGUUAAUAAAAAUAGUCUAGACGGUUCAGUCAGGAAACUAUUAAGAAAUGUUGUAUGCAACAAUGUUGCUAACAAAUUUAGCUUUCAAAGAACGAAAGGAAAGAAAAAGUUUGAAACUUUGAAGAUAUGGGAACUUAUUCUAGGUGCACUACUUUUAUAUUUCGAAAUGGAAGAAAUGUCUGCAGCUGAAAAUGUCGCAAAAUUAUGGCUGGCCAACGCUCCAUGGCGCACACAAUCAGAUGGGAUUAUUGAUCGUCGCCAAACGUGUAAAAAAUAGUAUGUGUAAACUGAGUUUAUUGAACCUACGAGAGAUUUGAUGAAAACGUUUUGUAAAGGCAACUGAAUUUUCUUUGACUAAAUUAUAAAAUAAAACAUUUAUACGCCAGUGUAAAGGAAAAGAUGGAAAAAAUGCAGCAACAUAAUAUGUUGUGGAUCGAGGUGCAAUUUUUAAAAAAGCCAGUUGACAUUUUGUGUUCCUGUAGACAGACUCUUAUGUACACUUACGUUUUUGCUUAUUAUGUGAAAAAGAACAAUCAGUCUGUGAUUUUUGAAGAGAACCAAAAGGAUUUGGAGAGCGCUAGAGGAGUGCCCCUCUGAAUAUCUUGAAAGAGAUAUCACGAGCGAAAAUCUGACAGGUAUUAAACAAAAGGUUCAGGAUAAAUAUUGAUACUGGGAUAACCAGAGAAAGGUGCUUUUCGAACUUGUCCAUGAAGGGUACGAGAAGAGAUGGUGGGAUUAUAAAGAAUAGAGGAUUUUUGCUAGUUUUAUUUCUUGGGGUGAUCAGAAAUCCUCUUCCUUCCCACCUCUGCCCCAGCUGUGAUAAACCAAGAAAGAGUUAACAAGAGACAAAAAUGGAGCAUGUCACAAGUGAUUAUAAAACGUGUUAUUUGCAUUUUAUGCUCUGUAGCAACACGUAUAAUGUCGUUUAUGAAUUAAUAUUGAACUCAAAUUAUUAAAAUUUAAUUCCGAUCAUAAAACAAGCUGAUUGGACAAUAUUUUGAUUUGCGCUUGCUGUGUCAUUGUAGAUUCUUGAUCCUUGAUAAAAAUGCCCUAUUGUUUUAGGAUUUUAAGAAAAAGUUAUAUUCCUUAAGACAAGAGUUGUGUCAUUCUUUGCUAAACAUACCUGGCAUGUUUGCGAUGUAAAAUAACUUGGCUAAAAAUUUACUGUUUUAUUUAGCA